rnacentral:lncRNA from 1 species
CGAUUCUUCUCUUGAAUCAUCUCCUUCCAAUUUUCAAGUUCGCCCGAGCUAGGAUAUGAUUUAAGGGAAAGUUGACCAAACAGGCGAUCAUGAGUCUCUUUCAAGUUUCCUCCAUAUUUCUUGGUCCAUUUGUCUUCCCAUCAAGAAGAGAAGAGUGAAGUACAUUCAAAAUUAAGGACGAUGGACUUUCAGGCAGCUUGACUCAUGACUUCAAGGCUGCGUUGGGCAGCUCUAAAGGUCACCUCAGAAGGAGAUACUAAACGAAAAGAGGUGCCACAGUGAACAGAGUCGAAAAAUGGGAUGGGGAUGGUUUGCCUGAAACCCAAUUGCCUGCUGCAAAAGUUAGGGUGAUAUACCUCCAACCCUCGAUCAUACCGAUUGCCCCGAACUCCCCAGGCCAUAUCUCUCGGUUGAAUGCAACUAAUAAAUUUUUCCCUACAAAAGGAGGUGGCAUCUUCACCAGGAGCAUCUUGGAAGGCCUGAUUGAAGAACCAAGGAUAUCUUCUCAAGACUGAUGCACCCAAUUCCAGAUCUAAUC